rnacentral:rRNA from 1 species
CAGCAGCCGCGGUAAUACGAAGGGGGCUAGCGUUGUUCGGAUUUACUGGGCGUAAAGGGCGCGUAGGCGGACUGAUAAGUCAGGGGUGAAAUCCCAAGGCUCAACCUUGGAACUGCCUUUGAUACUGUUUGUCUUGAGUUCGAGAGAGGUAAGUGGAACUGCGAGUGUAGAGGUGAAAUUCGUAGAUAUUCGCAAGAACACCAGUGGCGAAGGCGGCUUACUGGCUCGAAACUGACGCUGAGGCGCGAAAGCGUGGGGAGCAAACAGGAUUAGAUACCCCUGUAGUCCCUGUCUCUUAUAC